rfam:Anopheles arabiensis strain DONG5_A unplaced genomic scaffold supercont1.234, whole genome shotgun sequence.
CAAUCGGCUCUUUUCAGAGCCAUCCGGCUCUUAAGAACAUCUAAA